rnacentral:tRNA from 1 species
GGGAAGAUGGCUCAGUUGAUAGAGUGCUUGCCUGGCACGCAUGAAGCCCUGGGUUCGAUUCCUCAGCCCC